AGUGAACGCUGGCGGCAGGCCUAAUACAUGCAAGUCGAACGGCAGCACAGCAGAGCUUGCUCUGUGGGUGGCGAGUGGCGGACGGGUGAGGAAUACAUGGGAAUCUGCCCAGUCGUGGGGGAUAACGUAGGGAAACUUACGCUAAUACCGCAUGCGCCCUUCGGGGGAAAGCCGGGGACCUUCGGGCCUGGCGCGAUUGGAUGAGCCCAUGUCAGAUUAGCUAGUUGGCGGGGUAAUGGCCCACCAAGGCGACGAUCCGUAGCUGGUCUGAGAGGAUGAUCAGCCACACUGGAACUGAGACACGGUCCAGACUCCUACGGGAGGCAGCAGUAGGGAAUAUUGGACAAUGGGCGCAAGCCUGAUCCAGCCAUGCCGCGUGAGUGAAGAAGGCCCUCGGGUUGUAAAGCUCUUUUGUCCGGAAAGAAAAGCGCCGGGUUAAUACCCUGGUGUCCUGACGGUACCGGAAGAAUAAGCACCGGCUAACUUCGUG
rnacentral:rRNA from 1 species